rnacentral:rRNA from 1 species
CAGUAGCCGCGGUAAUACGUAGGUGGCAAGCGUUGUCCGGAAUUAUUGGGCGUAAAGGGCUCGCAGGCGGUUUCUUAAGUCUGAUGUGAAAGCCCCCGGCUCAACCGGGGAGGGUCAUUGGAAACUGGGAAACUUGAGCGCAGAAGAGGAGAGUGGAAUUCCACGUGUAGCGGUGAAAUGCGUAGAGAUGUGGAGGAACACCAGUGGCGAAGGCGACUCUCUGGUCUGUAACUGACGCUGAGGAGCGAAAGCGUGGGGAGCGAACAGGAUUAGAGACCCCCGUAGUCCCUGUCUCUUAUAC